ensembl:processed_transcript Abhd1 abhydrolase domain containing 1
GGAAGAGUCAAAGUUCAGGAGCUAGAGGCGCCGGGAGCCUGGGAAAUGGAAUACCCCUACACAACCAAGAUGCUGAGUUCCUCCCUGAGCCCGCAAAACGGCACCUGAGGCCUCGUCUGGUGGCUGGGCCCCAGUUUCUGGCCUUCCUGGAACAACACUGUCCAGUCACUGUGGAGACUUUCUACCCGACACUGUGGUGCUUUGAGGGACGGCUGCAAACCAUCUUCCGAGUCCUCCUGCAGUCUCAGCCUGUGGUCCCUUACCGGAGUGAAGUCCUCCAGACCCCAGAUGGAGGCCAGUUCCUUCUAGACUGGGCCGAGCAGCCUAA